CAGCUAAAUUUCAGAAGAAAAAAAGGACACUAUUGAGUAGGCAAUGUAGCACUAAUAUUCAGGGAGUAAUCUUUCCUUGCAGCCGCACAACAUAUGUAGGCAUAGAUAAAUAAGACUGGGGAUUAAACCUCGUCCAGCUCCACAACGUCCACGACCUGCAGAGGUCACAGACAUUCAUUGUUUCAGAUUUCUUUGUCACAACACGACUACUCUCUGAAGAAAGAUUCAAUUUUCUUCUCAGACCACAGUUAAAGAUUCAGAAUUCUGCAUAAUUUCUCCUCUCUGAAGAACGAAAGUUGCAGUAACCAAAUUGGUGGGUGUGGACAAGCAGAGCAUAGCAUGAGAAGGAGAGGAAGCAGAGAGAUACCUUGCAUGGCGUCCAGUAGGGUUGGAGCAGCGGCGGCCCAGAGGAGCGAAGCGAUGGUCUUCCCUUGCUUGUGC
rnacentral:lncRNA from 1 species